UGUAUAUGUGUGUAUGAAGAGGAGGAGACCCCGCCGCUUCGGUCAUGAAUGACCAUGGGAUUGCACCUAGAAAGUUACCCUCCGAGGCACAAGUCCGGGCAAGGUUUUUUUAUGGAAGACCAGCAGUCGCCCAUGCAUACCAGCCUCCCCUCUCCAUGCCA